rnacentral:rRNA from 1 species
UACAGAGGGUGCAAGCGUUAAUCGGAAUUACUGGGCGUAAAGCGUGCGUAGUCGGUUAUUCAAGUCGGGUGUGAAAGCCCCGGGCUCAACCUGGGAAUUGCAUUCGAUACUGUUUAGCUAGAGUAUGAGAGAGGGAGGUAGAAUUCCACGUGUAGCGGUGAAAUGCGUAGAUAUGUGGAGGAAUACCGGUGGCGAAGGCGGCCUCCUGGCUUAAUACUGACGCUGAGGUGCGAAAGCGUGGGGAGCAAACAGG